CCCAGGCCUACUAUGUCUGACAUUCUGGAAGGAGGCCCAGUGGUCUGUAGCGUAACAAGCGCACCAGGUGAUUCUGAUGUGCUGCUCAAGUUUAAGAACCACUAACUUAAAGAACCAACACAAACUAUGGCUCCUGAUCUUCCCUCUCUACUUUCUCCAAAAUCUAUCCCACGUCUUCAUUUUUUAAUUCAGAAUGGGAGAAGAGGCAGAUGCAAAGUUAGAGGAAAAGGAGUAAGAGAUAAGAAACCUCAGAGAUAGAACCUCCCUCUGCCUGGUCCAAGGAGAACAUAUGGGGCAGAGCCCCUAGUUGACCAUCAGUGGCCAUGUGAUUCCUUCUGGCGAAUGAAAUAUGAGCAGAAAUAGCAUGCAUCCCAUCCAGGCUGAGACCAGUGAGCCGCCUCUUUGUCUGUCUACUACUCCUUCAAGAAAUGACAAUGAAGCCAUAUACUGAGAAACUGUUACUUCCAUAUUGUGUCAAUCUAUAUCUCCAAGUCGCCAUAUACCCAAGGUCUAAUCCCCGAUUGUUUUUGCUUGCAUAAGAGAGAAACUAUAUAACCAUAAAACGUUCAAGUCACCAGAAUGAUGUAAAAAUUCUAAAUUUGAAUAAUAUAAUAAAAUCAAAAUGUAUAAAGCUAAUAUUAAUCAAACUGCAAAUGGAAGUUGCCAAAUUCAUUAUCUUAGUCACGCCAAGAGUCACCUUAUAAACAGCAGCACAAAUUAAUGAAGAAAGUGAAUGUUUGAAGAGGAUCGCUCUUCUCUCUCCUACAUGUAUAUUCAGAGCCUGAAGCUGUUAUUAGGAAAGCACAGUCCUCUCCUGGAGUGACUGUCGCAGACUUCCUUUAUAUCACUGGUCAACUGUGGCUGCAGGAAGUCUGGGAAACCAGGAGGGCAGAGGCCUGUGGUUGACUUCAACAGAUCAUGAGUCUCUGUCUGGGACCAGGCGCACCAUUUUCAGAAUUAAAUUGAGAUUCUUUCAACAAAGAAGAGGAGGGUGUGUAUCAGUGACUCCAGAAGUGGUCGCUUCAAUCUGCAAAGACUGUCAAAGAGACUACCUGCACUCUUCCCCUGAUGUGGAGCCUUUAUGGGCUUUUAUCAUGGUCUUAUCAGACUCAUCACAUUCAGGUCCUUCCAGUUGUGCUGUCUGGGAUGCCACCUCUGCAAUGGCCUGAUGAGCAGUGCUAGGUCUGCGCCCAGGAUCUGAACUGGCGAAACCCUGGGCCACUGAAGUGGAGCACGCAAACCCAACCACUUGGCCACGGGGUCAGCCCCAAAAUACAUUGUUUUUAUGUAAGAAUUUCAGUUUAUUUCCUUUUAAAAUUAUGUCUAGUUAACAGACCUUGACUUUUACCUCAAAACGCUCAAAUUUUCAUUUGAAACUCAAGAUGAGCAAAACAAAAUCAAAUACCAACUAACUCUGGAACCAAUCAAAUGCCUAAAAUCUCAGAGGAAUUUUGCUAACUAUAAAUGAUAAAAGUAGUGGAAGAAAAAUAGUUUGUCGCCUGCUCGUGCUUGACCUCAUGAAAAGAGCAAACCACUCAUCUAUGAGGAUUACAGAAGAGAGAAUUUGGCCUUCUCCCACUUCCUGUCCACUAACUCAUGGGAACAGAUU
ensembl:lncRNA